UACGAAGGGAGCUAGCGUUGUUCGGAAUCACUGGGCGUAAAGCGCACGUAGGCGGAUGUGUCAGUCAGGGGUGAAAUCCCGGAGCUCAACUUCGGAACUGCCUUUGAUACAGCACGUCUUGAGUCCGAUAGAGGUGGGUGGAAUUCCUAGUGUAGAGGUGAAAUUCGUAGAUAUUAGGAAGAACACCGGUGGCGAAGGCGGGUCUCUGGGCCGAUACUGACGCUGAGGAGCGAAAGCGUGGGGAGCGAACAGG
rnacentral:rRNA from 1 species